rnacentral:rRNA from 1 species
UACGUAGGGUGCGAGCGUUGUCCGGAAUUAUUGGGCGUAAAGAGCUCGUAGGCGGUUUGUCGCGUCGACUGUGAAAACUGGGGGCUUAACUCUCAGCUUGCAGUUGAUACGGGCAGACUUGAGUUCGGUAGGGGAGACUGGAAUUCCUGGUGUAGCGGUGAAAUGCGCAGAUAUCAGGAGUAACACCGGUGGCGAAGGCGGGUCUCUGGGCCGAUACUGACGCUGAGGAGCGAAAGCGUGGGGAGCGAACAGG